GCAGUAGCCGCGGGAAUACGAAGGGUGCAAGCGUUAUCCGGAAUCAUUGGGUUUAAAGGGUCCGUAGGCGGUCUUGUAAGUCAGUGGUGAAAGCCCAUCGCUCAACGGUGGAACGGCCAUUGAUACUGCAGGACUUGAAUUAUUGGGAAGUAACUAGAAUAUGUAGUGUAGCGGUGAAAUGCUUAGAGAUUACAUGGAAUACCAAUUGCGAAGGCAGGUUACUACCAAUUGAUUGACGCUGAUGGACGAAAGCGUGGGUAGCGAACAGGAUUAGAUACCCGCGUAGUCCCUGUCUCUUAUAC
rnacentral:rRNA from 1 species